CAUAUCCCACAAAAGGGAGCUUGGUCAUUUUGUCUUGAAAGCAUGAUUCACAAACUGGAUAUGACUCGAAAGUCAACGGACUCAGUAACCUGGAUUUCUCCAAUUUGUUAACCCUAUCUUCCGCUAUAUGACCUAGCCUUAGGUGCCACAGAUACUUAUCAUUUAGACUAUCUCUAGGCCUUUUAAUUCCUAUGGCAUUCACAUUUUGCUCAAUAUUAAAAAUAGAUACAUCAACAUGUAACUGAUAGAGACCAUUAAUAACAAAACCAUUUGUAACUUUAUUAUUUUCAUAAAAUAUGUUACAAUGGUCCUUAUGAA
rnacentral:lncRNA from 1 species